UAUUAGUCAUGUUUGUAAUUAAUGUUAAAGAUAUAUUAAAAUUUCGGUUGCUGUUAUCAUAUAUUGUUGUCAUUGGCAAAUAGAUAAGAAAGUUGGUGUUUACAUUAAUUAUUUCAUAGGAUCACUCACGUAUAACCUAACAUAAUUUAGCUUUAUAUAUUGUUAUACAUAUAAACAUAUUUGUAUGUAUUUCGUAUCUCAAAUUUUGAUGUGCACCCACAUAUUUAUAUGUCAUCUCUACCAAAUCGCUGUUUACUCAAGGAACUACAGAAUGAUAAAGAAUUGAUACUACCUAUUUCUGCAAUUUUUGUAAGAGAUUCAAAUUCUGGAUUGCUGAAAGUAGCGUCAAAGUAAGAUAUUGAAUCAAAUGUACCUGUCUAUAUGCAAUCAAGAGAAAAUGUCGUUGAAAUUGAAAUGCUUCGAUAUGCAGAAAGUAAAAAAGCUUUACUAAGUCUUUAAAGAUCUUCUGGUAAAAAAAGAAUUCGAGUGGUGAAAAGAUUAAGUCUAACACUGUUCAAAUCUCCCGCGCUCAGCUAUUCCAUUCUCACCGUCGAUAUCUUAUCGCCGGCAUUACCGAUCAGUCAUCUACUAUAGGCGGCUCCGCUAGUCGCAUUCUCAUUCAAGGGACUGCUAGAGUGGGGAAUAAGAAGACGGAUGCGCUGUCUCACUCACUCUUCAAGGCUCUCUCUCACUUAUAUAGUUACAGUGAUUUCAUGGCUGACGCCUCGUGCUCUCAUGAAUCGUCUCGUAAUAUCGUAAUCCUUUGCGUUCUCAGUAAAGUUCUCAGUGCAUUUUGAUUGUAAUAAUUAAUAGUAAUUAUUACAAUAAUUAUUUUUGGUCUCAUUGUUUAUCUCAGAAUUAUUGUACAUUAAUUAGUCUCACCUCGUGUACCGGCACUUUUCGCGCCUCGACGCCAUCUUGGCCACGUGUUGAUCGCGAGUGUAAUUCUCAUUAAAUUAGCAUUAAUAAAUAGUAAUUUAUCUCAA